rnacentral:lncRNA from 1 species
AUGGCUAACUUUCAAAUGUUUAAAAAGUGCUAUCCUAUAUCCCCUCAGACUUUUAGUUCAAGAAGAGCUUCAUUCAUUUGUUUGUUCGUCCAUUUGUUCAUUUGUUCGUUCGUUCGUUCAUUUGUUCGUUCGUUCGUUCGUUCAUUCAUUCGUUUGUUUGUUUGUUUGUUUGUUUGUUCCUUCCUUCCUUCCUUCCUUCAUUCCUUCCUUCUGUUUGUUCUUGAUAAUGUAGGCACAUACUUAAAGAACAGGCAUUCAAAGACCUCACAGAUCCUACAAAAUGGGAGGUGGGAUGCUACAAUUUCAGGUCCAAUUUAUUCAUUCACCACACGGAGGAUCAUAAGCCAUGGAGAGGAGGUAGAGGGAAAUGGACACAACUUUGCUCUUCAAGUCCUUGUUCCCACUGGCAACAUCCUCCAGGGCUUGACAUAUUCAGGGACAUUUUGA